rfam:Nostoc sp. PCC 7120 DNA, complete genome.
AUUCACGUUUGUGACUGUGAGUGUGGCUAAUCACUAACUAGCCACUGUUGCUGAUUGUUGGGAAGGUGUAGGGAUAACUAUCAAAAGUUUUCCCUGCAUGACGGGCAUCUAUUUUAGAUGCCC